GCAGAUUUGCGGCCAGAUAAAACUACCACAACCACAAGCAGCACAAGCUAUGCCAGUUUUGCUUUUUUCUGGUAUUGACCAUGAUCACCAAAUCUCAGUGUCAUCGCUUGGAUACACAGUUCCCGAAUCAUUGGAGCAACUACCAAUGUAGACCUCGAGUUACGGAUCUCUUGUUCCCCUUUCUUUAAAUCCUCUGUGUUCUCGUGUACACCCAUGUGUGUGUGGGGGUAUUCACGAGGACGUCCUUUUUCCUAUCCCGCCUGGUGGAUUCAACUACUCUGGCGGAUGGAUCACUUUUGGAUGCCUGGCAGUAUUUCCCAGGCAUAAAGGAGCAUGCUACAUGCUACACAUACGUAUGCUACCUCGGUGCCCUAUAUCGCACGCUGAAAACGAUUGAUACAUUUCAGAAAUUGCUUUGCUUCAGUCUUGCAAAUGUCAGAUGGCGAAAACGUCGAAUGAUGAAUCCGUGCCCCAUCUCGCGGCAGUCGUAGAAAAGUGUUGUCUGAUUUGGUCCAUACGGAGCGCGGCUGUACUUCAUGCUAAAGAUGAAGCACGCCACGUCCACGUACUCACGGACACGGAGUCCGCCAUUGCCCACCCAGUUCUUAAUUCUUAUCGAGUCACUGUUGGAGAACGUUACCAUUGAAGGUGAAUUUACAGGUUACAGCCUUUAAUUUAUCCUUGGCAAUUCCAUCUGAUCACGUUGCCUGAAACCACUACAUUUCCCAAAAUUUUGUCUUUUGCUGCUACCGGCUGUAGGCCUACGUUUCGUCAUAUGCAGCAAUACUUCAGAACAGUAAAAGUUAUUAUGUUGUGUUGUUCAACUUUUUAACAUUAAGCCAGGUGUCUGAGAAGUCAGAGAAGUCUGAGCUUCUUCAUUGCAGUCGAAUGUGCACAUGGAUUUGUUGGGUGAAAGGUGUUCCUCUUGCAGGCUUGCUACCUGCACCAGUUGUAGCUUUUGCCACAUGCUGAAAUACUUCAGAACAAUUUGAAUAUUACAGGAUUACAGCCUCUUAGGGUCUGGGCCUCUUCAAUCUUCAUGGCAGUCAAAUGUGCUCAUGGAUUUGGUGCCAGCUGGUGAACGGCGUGGUGAGCUGUUGAAUGCAGACUCUGGUGCUGGUGUCGUUCGUUCAAUUAACUUUGGACCCUUCAGUCGUUCGUUUAUAAGUAGGUGUGCAAAAUUCUGUCCGCCAGGUUGCGGAGUGUCUGCUCGUUAGUAUGUGACGAAAUUCCGCCAUUUGCUGUUGAGACAGUGGACGGGAAUGUGUUGCUGACGGUGUUUUUUGCUUUUACAUUAAAGAACGACCAUUCGACCAAGCUGAAACGAAAGUGAACAACUCUAAAGCAAACAUGUCGAAGAUCUUGCCUUUCUCCACGGUGUCGCUCGUCUUUGAGAGGGUCUCUACUAUAUUGCAAGACAAUAAUAAGAUGUAAACAGGAAGUCUGAAAUGUUUAAAGUUUGAGCAGUUUAUGGUGUUGCUGUUUGGUGUGGUUCAAAGUCAUUUUCCAGUUGGCAGAUGCACUUGAAUGGAGCUUGUGCAGACUUACAUGUCAACAUCAUACCUCAAUGUGUUAUUUGCCUAUGCUUGUGUCCUUGCUGUGUUGAAGAGUUGGUGAAAAUAGCCAAUGUUGCCUGAUGGCUGUCGGGCAUAUUUUAUCUGCUUCAUCUUGUCGAUGUGUCAUCUUUAGCUACCUGUACCGGUGUUGAGUUGAAUCGUUCGUCGCCGUUCUGUAGGUGGAACUGAGGAGGUUUUUGAAAUCCAAAACUUAUAAAUUAUGUAGAUGUAGAUAAAUAACAAGUGCAUAUAUGUGCUCCCUCCCUCCCUCCACAUUUCUUUAAGUAAACAGUAAAUAACUCUCCCCUCUUGGUGAUGAAUCACUCGCUGUGAUAACUGCGAUAAGACGCGUGAUGUGUGGAAAACUUGAAGAGCUACAAAACUCUUCUAUGAUCAAUUCACAACCCUUUACUUUUCCUUCCCUUCACUAUAAAUGUUUUCAUAUGAUAAAUAUCUUCCUUAACGACUUUCUCCACUUUUUCUUCCCUGCAAUGUCAGUCCUACGAUUAAUUGCUCCUACAAUACCUGAUCUGAUAACAUUAACUAAUUCAAAUACCAAUACCAUCGUUAUAAUUCUGAAAUAAAAUAUUUAUAUAUUA